rnacentral:rRNA from 1 species
CUACGGGGGGCACCAGUGAGGAAUAUUGGUCAAUGGGCGAAAGCCUGAACCAGCCAUGUCGCGUGCAGGAAGACGGCCCUAUGGGUUGUAAACUGCUUUUCUAUAGGAAGAACUAUAUCUACGUGUAGGUAUUUGCCUGUACUAUAGGAAUAAGCAUCGGCUAACUCCGUGCCAGCAGCCGCGGUAAUACGGAGGAUGCGAGCGUUAUCCGGAUUCAUUGGGUUUAAAGGGUGCGUAGGCGGCCUUUUAAGUCAGUGGUGAAAUUUUGUAGCUCAACUACAAACGUGCCAUUGAAACUGAAGGGCUUGAGUGCGGACGAGGAAGGCGGAAUGUGUUAUGUAGCGGUGAAAUGCAUAGAUAUAACACAGAACACCGAUUGCGAAGGCAGCUUUCCAGACCGUAACUGACGCUGAUGCACGAAAGCGUGGGUAGCGAACAGGAUUAGAUACCCCGGUAGUC